rnacentral:rRNA from 1 species
GUUAGGAAUAUUGGACAAUGGGCGCAAGCCUGAUCCAGCCAUGCCGCGUGAACGAUGAAGGCCUUCGGGUUGUAAAGUUCUUUAGUCGAUGAUUAUAAUGACUGUAGUCGGAAAAUAAGCCCCGGCUAACUUCGUGCCAGCAGCCGCGGUAAUACGAAGGGGGCGAGCGUUAUUCGGAAUCACUGGGCGUAAAGCGUGCGUAGGCGGUCUCGUAAGUUAGGAGUGAAAGCCCAGGGCUCAACCUUGGAAUUGCUCUUAAAACUACAAGGCUAGAAUCUCGGAGAGGAUAGCGGAAUUUCCAGUGUAGCAGUGAAAUGCGUAGAUAUUGGAAGGAACACCAGUGGCGUAAGCGGCUAUCUGGACGAGUAUUGACGCUGAGGCACGAAAGCGUGGGGAUCAAACAGGAUUAGAAACCCGAGUAGUCC